GGGAAUGUGGCUUAGUGGUAAAGUGCUUGCCUAUCAUGCAAGAAGCCCUGGGCUUGAUUCCUCAAAACCA
rnacentral:tRNA from 1 species